rnacentral:tRNA from 1 species
GCUACUAUAGUUCUAAAGGUAGAACGACGGCUUUGUAAUCCGUAAGUUAUCAGUUCGAGUCUGAUUAGUAGCUCCA